CCUUGUGUACUAGAAUCUAAUGCGUACUAGUUUGUGCCGAGCCGAGACUGAGAGGGACGAAACCCAAUUCUCAAAAACAGUCCCAUGAGCGAGAAUCAGCAGUCAAGCGUGGGUAAUUGCUGAUGUGCGGCUUGCAUUACAGCUGCAGAGGGUGAAACAAAAGUGGACAACAGAAUAGAGCCUAACUAACUACUGCAUUGGUGAUGGUGGAAGUGUGGUGGUCCUUGUUGGGGGCUGCUGUCCCAGCAGUUAUUGCGGGCCAAGCAAUUAUAGUCAUGAAAAAGAAACGCGCAGAAGAGCAGAGAAUGAAAAGCAUCAGAGGAAGGGAGAAGAGUUCUGAUGAUGUUUUCGUGUGUGAGAGAGUAUGUACAUCAAAGAGAAUGUUGAAAAAAGUGGGGGCUUUCUCAAAGGACCCGAUUCCUGAUAACUGUCUUACUGUCUGUGGUGUAUCUGAGCUUGAUGCAUGCUCUGAUGCUUGUGCUCGGACUGUCUGUGUAAACCAGCAUCAAGUGCCUGACUGGAAUGAUAUCUGCCUUCGAAGAUGCCAGAGUGAAUGCCUUAAACUCUCUGCUUCCCAUUAACCUUAGUAUAGUUCUUAUCCAUAUUUUCUGAAAUGAACAAUUAUGCAAAUUAUUGCAGUGUUUGAUUCUUAGUUUCAGUAGAAUGCUUUUUAUUUUUUGCCAUCCUCAGGUAUUUCCAUUCACUUUUGCUUUCAGAUAUUAUCCAUGUUCUUGAGUUGAGUUGCACCUUGAUGCACUUAUUAUGUUUUAUUUCUUGAAAAGAAACAAAAAAAAAAAAAAAA